rnacentral:misc_RNA from 1 species
GCGACGCGAGAAAAAAAGAAAGAUCACUUUCUAUUCCUGGAAAUUCUUUCUCUGUAAUUAUUUCCUCUUGAAACGAACAGAAAAGCUGUAAAAGUUCAACAGAUAAAAGUCUGAUGCAGUUCUCCGCUUAUUGUUUCUGGUAAUUUUUAUCAAUGGAAUCUGCAACGGCCAAAUGGGUAUUCUCCUUCCUCUAUCUCGCCAUAAUCCUUUUAACUCUCUUCUCUCUACACUCCCAAAUCGCUGUCAAAUUGGUCAUCGGCCACCAUAAACCUCGCCUCAAGAGAUCGCCCGAUCUUCCUUUGCGCUUCCGCGAUGAUGGCACCUUCAAAAUCCUUCAGGUGGCAGAUAUGCAUUACGGGACAGGGGCAGCGACUCGGUGCAGAGACGUGUUGCCUUCUGAAUUCGACUUUUGCUCUGAUCUUAACACCACUCGUUUUCUUGAGAGGUUGAUUCGUUCAGAGAAACCUGAUUUAAUUGCUUUUACAGGGGAUAAUAUUUUUGGGACUAGCACGACUGAUGCUGCUGAGUCUUUAUUUCGUGCUUUUGGUCCAGCUAUGGAUUCUGGACUUCCAUGGGCAGCAGUCUUAGGAAACCAUGAUCAUGAAUCUACAAUGAAUCGUGAAGAGUUGAUGUCUUUCAUAUCCUUAAUGGAUUAUUCAGUAUCACAAACCAAUCCAUCCGCUGAAGAUCCCUCUCAUACUGGCAAAGGAGGCAGGAU